rnacentral:lncRNA from 13 species
AAGGAUUAGAGAUAAAUUUCUCUAGCCACGUGAGGAAUGAAAUAGGGCACUUUUUUUUUAAAUAUCAGGGAGGUUCCAUAUGGUCAAGCACAGCCAGAGUGGUGGACAUCCUGACAGGGCAGUUCAGAGAGCAGCAGCUCCGGAAGAAAUGGGCCAAAGUCCAUAGAGAGAGGGAGCAGAAAAGAGGACAGAGUCACACUCCUGAACAACCAGAACAGUUUUCCAGUGUCCUCAUCUGCAGAAAUACCAGAUGAUCCAAAACAGAUUCUUUUUUUUUUUUUUUUUUUCUGAGACAGAGUCUCACUUUGUUGCCAAGGCUGGAGAUCAAUGGCAUGCAAUUUUGGUUUACUGCCACCUCUGACUCCUGGGUUCAAGCGAUUUUCCUGCCUCAGCCUCCUGAGUAGCUGGGAUUACAGGAUGAAGGCGCGGAGACGGGAAACUCCUGCCUUUUAAACCACGCCCCUCACAGACCCUGGAAGAGCAGUCCCUCAGUUUUACCACGUGGGCCAAUCUGGUCUCCAACUCCUGACCUCAAGUGAUCCACCAGCCUCUGCCUCCCAAAAUGCUGGGAUUACAGAAACGAGCCACUGCGCCUAGCUGAGUCGGGGUUUUGCAAUGUUGUCCAGGCUGAUCUUGAACUCCUGGGCUCAAGUGAUCCUUCUACGUCAGCCUCUGAAAAUGCUGGGAUUACAGACAUGGGCCACUGAGCCCAACCCCUGGAUGGGAGAUCUGGGACAAGACAAAGACUUUGCUAAGGCAAUGCUGUUCAUAGUGGUGGAUCUAAGCUGCACUACAAGUCUUCCAGAUUCUACCUGAUUGACCUAGAAACCUCGAACACAAACCAAGUCCCUAUGCAACAAUGUUCUGGGCCGGACGUGGCUCACACCUGUAAUCCCAGCACUUUGGGAGGCCAAGGCAGGUGAAUCACGAGGUCAAGAGAUCGAGACCAUCCUGGUCAACAUGGUGAAACCCCGUCUCUACUAAAAAUACAAAAAAUUAGCGGGGCACGAUGGUGUGUGCCUGUAAUCCCAGCUACUCAGGAGGCUGAGGCAGGAGAAUUGCCUGAACUCAGGAGGCAGAGGUUGCGGUGAGCCAAGAUCACGCCAUUGCACUCCAGUCUGGGUAACAAGAGCGAAACUCCACCUCAAAAAAAAAAAACAAUGUUCUGAUUUAUGUGUUGAAGGAAUAAAUGUACAUAUGCCUCUGGUGCUGAGAGGCA